CAGCCGCCACGGGAAUACGAAGGGUGCAAGCGUUACUCGGAAUUACUGGGCGUAAAGCGUGCGUAGGUGGUGGUUUAAGUCCGUUGUGAAAGCCCUGGGCUCAACCUGGGAAUUGCAGUGGAUACUGGGUCACUAGAGUGUGGUAGAGGAUAGUGGAAUUUCCGGUGUAGCAGUGAAAUGCGUAGAGAUCGGAAGGAACAUCUGUGGCGAAGGCGACUAUCUGGGCCAACACUGACACUGAGGCACGAAAGCGUGGGGAGCAAACAGGAUUAGAUACCCCCGUAGUCCCUGUCUCUUAUAC
rnacentral:rRNA from 1 species